GCUUCUAUUUGAGAACUUCGGAUGAAAUAACAGGACCAAAUGGUUUGGGGAUAUCCAAAUUAUGUCCGAAAUACUGUAACAUUUUUAGAUUUUUUUUUAUUAUUUUUGUCUGCCGUUCCCCUUUGUCAUACCAAAUAACUAUGAACAACCACUCGAACUUUAAUUUGAACUUUAACUUUGGCUAUACCCAUCCAAAGCACAUUAAACAAACGAC
rnacentral:lncRNA from 1 species